rnacentral:rRNA from 1 species
CCUACGGGGUGCAGCAGUGGGGAAUAUUGGGCAAUGGAGGAAACUCUGACCCAGCAACGCCGCGUGAAUGAUGAAGGUCUUCGGAUUGUAAAGUUCUUUUCUAAGGGAAGAAGAAAGUGACGAUACCUUAGGAAUAAGCUUCGGCUAACUACGUGCGAGCAGCCGCGUUAAUACGUAGGAGGCGAGCGUUAUCCGGAACGACUGGGCGUAAAGGGGGCGGAGGCGGUUUGGCAAGUUAGUAGCGUAACUCCAAGGCUCAACCUUGGAACUACUUAUAAGACUGUUGGACUUGAGUGCAGGAGGGGCAACCGGAAUUCCUAGUGUAGCGGUGGAAUGCGUAGAUAUUAGGAGGAACACCAGUGGCGAAGGCGGGUUGCUAGACUGUAACUGACACUGAGGCACGAAAGCGUGGGGAGCAAACAGGAUUAGAUACCCCUGUAGUC